UACGGAGGAUGCAAGCGUUAUCCGGAAUGAUUGGGCGUAAAGCGUCCGCAGGUGGCAGUGUAAGUCUGCUGUCAAAGAAUGAGGCUUAACCUCAUCAAGGCAGUGGAAACUACACAGCUAGAGUACGGUCGGGGUAGAAGGAAUUCCUGGUGUAGCGGUGAAAUGCGUAGAGAUCAGGAAGAACACCGGUGGCGAAAGCGUUCUGCUAGACCUGUACUGACACUGAGGGACGAAAGCUAGGGGAGCGAAUGGG
rnacentral:rRNA from 1 species